rnacentral:rRNA from 1 species
AUGUCAUUUCAUGACAAAAUUUUGGUCGGACCUUGCGCAUGUAAGCAUAUUGAACCCCAAACAAUUUCAGAUUUUUUUGAUUUUGUUUUGAUUUUUUUGAAUUUACUAUUCAUCAGGCAGAUAUUUUUGUUUUUUUACCACGAGCUCCUUGAGUGCCGAAAGAGAACGAAAUUUUGUUCACAUCUUGUGUACGCAAGCAUAUUCGACCUCAAAAAAUUUCAGAUUUUCUUGAUUUUUUUUAUUUUUUUGUCAAAUUUACUGUUCAUCGGGCGGUUUUGUUGCGGUCAAAACCGGUCAACGUGCUCAAAAUCUGGUUUAGGACCAAACUUAUCCGGUUUUGAGACUUGA